rnacentral:lncRNA from 1 species
CACUCUCGAGUUCUCCAGAUGUGAGUCGAUGGAUGGUUCAUGCUCGGACUGCUGCAGAUAUGUGGAGGAGAAUGCUUCAAGGUUCUGCAAGCAGGCUGAAUGGAACACACGAAAAGGUUAAACAUAUUAUCAGCAGGUACACAACACAUGAAGCACACAAAGAUGUUUUCAUCUUGUGCAUUGCCUGUUCUUGCACUUUUCUUUCUCCAAUGGACAUCUUGACUUUAUGUCACUUUUCAGAUCUACUUUAAAGAAGACUGAAGUCAGUAAAGAAUGGUUGGAGAUGCUUAAGUUCUGUCUUCUAUCAGUUGGUGGGGAUCAUUGGAGGAGUCUAUGGACCUCCUUUCAGGAAAAUUAUACCAAUGCUGACAGCAUCAUGCACUAUGGAAAAGAUGAUUUUGUUUGACCCAAUGAGUGGAUUGUACUGCAAGCAUUUUUGAUUGAGCUUUGGAUCUCCUUUCUCUGGUCACUGGAGUUUGGAA